GAGAGAGACUUGCCAGUGACGAGGGCUGCUACCCAUCGUUUCCUCGGUUGAAUUCCGAUGCUCACUCG
rnacentral:tRNA from 1 species